GUCGAGCGGAUGAAGGGAGCUUGCUCCCUGAUUUAGCGGCGGACGGGUGAGUAAUGCCUAGGAAUCUGCCUGGUAGUGGGGGAUAACGUUCCGAAAGGAACGCUAAUACCGCGUACGUCCUACGGGAGAAAGCAGGGGACCUUCGGGCCUUGCGCUAUCAGAUGAGCCUAGGUCGGAUUAGCUAGUUGGUGAGGUAAUGGCUCACCAAGGCGACGAUCCGUAACUGGUCUGAGAGGAUGAUCAGUCACACUGGAACUGAGACACGGUCCAGACUCCUACGGGAGGCAGCAGUGGGGAAUAUUGGACAAUGGGCGAAAGCCUGAUCCAGCCAUGCCGCGUGUGUGAAGAAGGUCUUCGGAUUGUAAAGCACUUUAAGUUGGGAGGAAGGGCUGCUGGUUAAUACCCUGCAGUUUUGACGUUACCAACAGAAUAAGCACCGGCUAACUUCGUGCCAGCAGCCGCGGUAAUACGAAGGGUGCAAGCGUUAAUCGGAAUUACUGGGCGUAAAGCGCGCGUAGGUGGUUCGUUAAGUUGGAUGUGAAAGCCCCGGGCUCAACCUGGGAACUGCAUCCAAAACUGGCGAGCUAUAAUACCGUAGA
rnacentral:rRNA from 1 species